rnacentral:lncRNA from 1 species
CUGAGCAGGAAGUGGCAGGGUCAGGAAAAGCUAGGCCACAAGUUUUCCCUUGAGAGCCUUAGAGUCUAGCCCUGUCGCCCAGGCUGGAGUGCCAUGGUUUGAACUCUACUCACCGCAACCUCCACCUCCCAGGUUCAAAUGAUUCUCCUGCCUCAGCCUCCUGAAUAUCUGGGAUUACAGGCCAAAGAUUAUUAAUGCAUGAUGUGUAACAAUUUCAGGCAAAGGCAAUCAUCAGAUAUUAAGAAAGGGAUCAAGAAAUCGAGGAGGCAAAAGAACAGAAGAAGUAAAUACCUAUAGCUUGCCCAGAAGGUAAGAAGAAAAAGAAUGCCAAAAAUGUGGACCAUUUUAUUAUUUAGUUAAGCAUUAUAGUACUGCAAAUCCUUUUUCCACCAUCUUUUCAAACUUUUGCCGUGACAGAAUUGUUUUUGAUACCCACAUAGAAAAGAUUAAAUGAGUAGAAAAGAAGAUCAAUAUGAAAAAUUUAAAGGAACUGUCAUUUUUCAGCCUAGGAAGAGAGAGAAUGCCGAAAGACUUCUAAUGUAUGGAGUUUAAACAUCAGAUGGUGAUUGAUUGCUAUUAAUUUAUGUCAGCAAAGGAGGAGAAGAAAUACGUAAAACUGCCUCUGAAGAAUUUACAUUAAACACCAAAAGAAUCUGACUCUGAAAAUGAAGAAACAAGGAAUAUUGUUUGUUUUGGGAAUCAAAAAAAAAAAAAACUUCCCAUUUGAGUACACAAUUUCCUAAACAAGAUACAUGAUAAUUCCAUACACUAUGCUUUCCGAAGAAACUUUGUAAAACGUAUUUUCAUUAUUCAAAACUUGAAAACACAGAAACAAUAUGAUGCAAAAAAUUAUCUUUAGCAUUAUUCCACUAAGAUAAUUCAUUUUAACAUCCAUAUAUUCAUUAUUAUGUAAAAUACCUAUCAGUAUGUGGGUAUAUCUUUGUGUGUAUAUUUUAACAAAACAAAAUUCAAUAAAAAUUGAAAUACAGAAAUGACAAAAACACACAAAAAAUAUAAAUUAUUUCCAUUGUAGCAUAUAUUACCUUUUUCACCUAACAUUAUACUGUAGGAAUAUAUUCUUUCAUCAUUCAAUGCUUUUGAAAAUAUAAUAAUAUUCCAUUUUAAGGACAUGCUAUAAUUUAGUUCAUUAGUUUUUAAACUUUUAGAUUAUCUCAUUUUGUCAUCAUUUAAAAAAAGUGUUCCUGGAUGUCCUUUUGCAUAGACUUUUGAAUGUAUUUCUGACUAUUUUCUUAACCUGUCCUGUACUUCUGCAAGUAGAACUGCUUGAGCAGAGAUUAGGAGCAAUUUUAAGGUUUUUCAAAAAUCUUGACAAACUAUUCUGCAGGAAAAAUGUAUCUUGUUACCAUCAGCAUUUUUAAGUAACUAGUGACUAAUUGUAAAAAUAAUUGUGUUUCCUUGUAUUUAAGCCUUGCGCUAUAGAUUUUAAAAAUUUGUCCUUUUUUUUUUUUCAUUUGUAAAAAAAAGCCAUCUAAAAGACCUUAGAACCUGGUAUCAGCUGAAGCUUACUAAACCAUAUCAAGAAGAUCAUGUCAUUCUCAAGAAAAGCAUGUUUCAAAUAAAAAGGAAAUGUCA